rnacentral:misc_RNA from 1 species
GAUGAAGAACGUAGCGAAAUGCGAUAAGUAGUGUGAAUUGCAGAAUUCAGUGAAUCAUCGAAUCUUUGAACGCACAUUGCGCCUCCUGGUAUUCCGGGAGGCAUGCCUGUUCGAGCGUCAUUAAAAUCACUCAAGCUUAGGUUUACCUAUUGCUUGGUCUUGGAGAUGGAAGCCAAUUUAUUGGAAUCCUCUUCGAAAUUCAAUGGCGAAGACCCUUGCUCUCCCAAGUGUAGUAAUAACUUAUGUCACUGAAGGAAGCGAGAAAUCUUCUGCCGUAACCCCCAUAUUUUCUAUGAUUGACCUCGGAUCAGGUAGGGAUACCCGCUGAACUUAAGCAUAUCAAUAAGCGGAGGA